UGUUAGCAUGGAUGCGUCUUUGCCUGCUCGCUGGUUUGCGUGUGUAAAACGGCGCUGUUUGUGCAGUCCACAAUUCAAGUGUUGCGCUGCUGACUGUCGCACCAAAACGGAGUACUUCAGGCUCCACGCGCAUGCAUUUAAAGGUGUGCUUCUCCUCGAAGCGUAGACGCUUACGUUUGCAGCGUCUACACGAGGGCCACUAGGCCGACAGCACACUUCGCCAUAGUGUGGGAUAUUCUGCUUGCGUCGGGGAUUGCUGCUGGCUGACGUUUGAAGCAAGUAUGCUGUGGAUGCGUCUGAAACUGCUGCAAGGGGCUGCAGUCCCUCCAAGGAGCGUCACCCAAGCAUUGCCCAGGUUAACGGUCGAGCCGUGGUGUGCAAGCGUUGUGGCCUCUGGAACCGAACGCUCGGUGCUCCUGUCGACAGAGUGUAGCUGCCAAUGCGGCCUUCUUUCAUGGCUUGUGUCACACACGUCUAGUUGUGUGCUGCUCUAUGCACGCACAUGUGCCUUUCCCGCAUGCUUCUCCUCUUACUUCGUUGUCUUUGUCCAUAUGACAGCCGCAAACUAAAAUUUAUCUUACCAAUGAUAUUUUACCCCAUAAUUUGCAUUGCUCGAAAACUGCUUCAGAACUCUCCUUUUACUCUUCCAAAGCAGCUCCCAAACUGCAUUAUUUGUACUCUUUGAGCUGCUCCAAAAGACUGAAGCCUGCUUCUACCCCUGCAUAAGCUUUAUUAGCUUUCUUGCUUUUGCCUGUUGCAUGAAGUAUUUUGCACACCUUUAAACGUGCCACAGUCUGUGAUAGUGGAUGCGAAAUUGUUGGGAGACUGAGUGAGGACUCGUGUGAUGCGUUCACCUGACGCUGUGAUGAUGAAACAUGAUUACAAGCUCUUGAUGGUCUUGCGUGAAGCUUUUUGACAGCAUAAAACUUAUCUGUGUGCGAGCAGCCUCUUGUGCAUAUCAUUCUGCUUGUGUUGCCUUUGAACAUGGAGUGGUGACUUGUCAUUAGUGUGUCAAUUACUGAAUUCUGGUCCCCUCAAAAUGAUACUGUCUCUUUCUUUAAUUCUUCUUGGCUUGCAGGCAUGCAGCAGUGAAGUAGGGAUCGUUUUCUCCAUCUGUGGUGAACAAUGCCUCACACUAAAGGCACAUCGAAGGCAGACAAGAUUGGCCCACUCUAAAGCAACAUUAUCACUACAUGCGAAACCAAAAGCACGCACAAAUGCAAAACUUGCCAGAGGUCUUGGCAUUGCAAGGUCUUGGUGUUGCACGUGCAAGACCUUGUGGCGAAGAGAAACCUGUCUCAAGUGCAAUUCGUGCUGGGCUGCCUCCAAGCAGAAUUCAGGGUCAUCAGCACCGUGUCCCCACCGACACCCACUGACGAGAUCCUUGUCAGAAUUUUUUCAGUGCGGUACAUGCCUUGAGUAUACCGGGAAUCAACAAGAACAAGUAGUGUUCUCAAUGUUGCAAAAUGCUAUGCAGCUUUAUAGUUAACAUAGACACAUAGUUGCCUCGAGUGGCAACCAUGAGUCUUCUUUUUGUUAAUUGAUGGCGUAAAACGAAACUGCCUGUUUUUUGACGUUCACUGUUUGCGAUAAAACUUUCGACAGAUGUUCUAUUCAAUACUCUGAUAUUUACCAAAUGGUAGGACUGCAAUCGAUAUAGCUCUUUAAGAAUCAAUUUUAAGCAUUGGCAGCCGAUUUCAGAAUCAUGUCUUUGAAUGCAGGCUACCCUGUGUUCGUGAUUAUCCUACCGCACUUCUUGUGGUAGUGGAUGAAAGACAAAUUGCUAUUUUUGCAUGUCCGAAUAGUCUCAUAAUUGUAUCAAUCUUGUUCCUAAAGGUUGGCACGGCUCAAAUAACUAAUAACGUUCUAUAUUUAUACUAGUGAGGGUAAUGAUAGAACAUCGAUUAGGCAUUGCAUGAAGCAGCUAUUCAUUUCUAUUUCAAACAUUACUUUUUUUUAAUAACUAAUGAGUUUAAAUCGCUUGUAUUGCCCUAGCUGCUACAGGACUGUCAGUAUUGAAAAAUGCCAGUACCCUUGCAUGAUAAAAAUGUGCUGCGGUUAUCCUUUUUAGCUUGAGCCUGGCAUCAAUGUUACAAGCUAUGGUUAAUAUAAUGCGAAAGCAUGGAGAGGCAUUUGUUUUUUCUGUUUCAAAAAAGAUUUGCUUGGGGUUAUUUUUUUUUCUGCAAGUUAGAAUACUCCUGUUUUAGUUGUACUAAGCAGCUUUCUUCUGCCCCGUGAUCAUUGGUUUCAUGCUAUUUUUCUCCCAAAUGUUAUACAAAAAUAACAUCCCGAUAUUGUAGAAAGCACUAAAAAUAAUCUGCAAGCAAUCAUUCAGAAGUAAUAUAUUGUAAAUAUAAUGAACAGACUGUAUGUCCAGUGGGUUUUUAUAAUCACGGAUGUUAUGUAGUGUAAAGUCAUGCCUCCUACACAUGAGUUCAGAAUCUCUUAAAGUACGUGUUGAACGAGGCCCCCUGUGUUCUAAUAUAAAACCCGCUUGCAUAACUAUGGCAGCUGUCAUUUCACUAACAUCUGACAAUGCGCAGGCGUUGGGAAAGUGAGAAAAUUUUUGAUAACCUUUUGCAAAGUGCUCACUGUCAUUGAAAGUGUGCUAAGCCAUGAGGGAAGAAAACUGCCACCUUGAUGUUUAAAUCUAUAUCUGUUCAAAGCACAUUUCUUUUAAUAAGGAGGCAAGAGUUUUCUAGGUUGAUUCAUAAAAUCUUUAUUAAGCGAUUCUACUUGUUAAUGAUUUAAUUUACGUGCGAGUCCUCGAGCUUUAUGCGUGGUAAAGUGAAACAUAAAAUGCUUUUAAUUCAGAUUUUGAAGGGUAAGUGCUAGAGCGGUUGGAAUUGAGACUUUUAUCGUUAGUGAUAUUGCUCUUUGCUUUCAAAAUUAAUAUUCAAUGUGCAGCAUGACAAAAGGGGAAUGAAAAUGCUACGAGAGAUGUUUUCUCUGCUGGUGAAGCAGCUCUUGGUGUUAAAAAAAAUUGUAAACAAAACCAUUUGUAAGCUUCCUUCACUUGCCUCUGUUUUCGUCAUGGCCUUGUACCUAAGUUCUGAUGGAAGGAGUCUAUGGAGGGGUUGAGCUGUAUUGUGUAUGCUUAAGAAGCACGAACUCCUGGGUGUAUAGGAGGACACCUAUACACAGCUUGAGUUGGCUGUGUCUAGGUGUCUUCUUUUCGUGCAUCAAUUGUUUCACACACCUGUUACGAAGGUGUGUAUUCAAUUUGCAAGGAUAUUAUAAGAUGUGAGCAUGCAAGCAUAUUUGUGGGAGCUGUCGCACUUAUCUUGGUGAUUGGCUGAACGUUUCUUCACUGUAGUACUGAUAUUUGGUUCUGCAGGUGAAGCAAGAUUCAGUGCUUUCAGCAUAGAUGCUUCACUGGUCAAGUCGCAGCUGAGCACACCUUCCCGAGGAGGCGGGCGAAGUCUUACCUCAGGGAGGCUUCGGAGGGAGCGGCCCAAAGACAUGCAUAGCUGGAAUGCGGAGGGACCACUCGCAUGCCAUUCCUGCCCUACUGCAACAUGCGCUUCAUUUGAUUUCAUGGACCUCAUGCAAACUCGCAGCGGGGAACAACCCUUUAAGUGCACGAGGUGCUCGGCUGCACCCACGACGAGGAUGAGCUGCUAGGACUGCUUGAUUGACCACCCCGUUGAAAGAGGCCUCGUGGAUGUGUUAUUAGUCUGUGUCUCCAGUAGGAGAGCGAGUUCAUGAAAAGGGCUGAUAGCUGGCCAAGUAGACGCCAUUGCGUUACUGCAGAUUGAGAUAAGACAAGCAGAAAGGUUACCAGCAAACGCUGAGUUGCCACUCUGUUUGUGAAGAAAGUUAAAGACUGCUACUUAAAGUAGUACACAGCCAUUAUUGUGUUCAUGUUGUGGCUACACAUUUUCAGACGUACAAUAAUCUUCCCUGCUAGAGAACACUAGAAUAAACACCUUUAAUAUUCCUUGCUCCCUCACUUUGAGCGGAUGUGAAAGUACCCAAUCCUUGUGGAAAGUGCUGGUCUGUUAAAAGGAGUCUGAACCUCCAGUAGCCAGGAGCCUAUGCCCCUUCUGUCACAUAAAAUUGUUGCA